UACGAAGGGGGCUAGCGUUGUCCGGAAUUACUGGGCGUAAAGCGCACGUAGGCGGGUUGUUAAGUCAGGGGUGAAAUCCUGGAGCUCAACUCCAGAACUGCCUUUGAUACUGAGGAUCUUGAGUUCGGGAGAGGUGAGUGGAACUGCGAGUGUAGAGGUGAAAUUCGUAGAUAUUCGCAAGAACACCAGUGGCGAAGGCGGCUCACUGGCCCGAUACUGACGCUGAGGUGCGAGAGCGUGGGGAGCGAACCGG
rnacentral:rRNA from 1 species